rnacentral:lncRNA from 1 species
AAAUGCUGAGCUCUGUCCUCAGCUGCAUGUGCCUCUGCACAACAGGUUUCUAUUCGGGAAGGGCAGCGUAGUUCUUCUCACAUUUUUCCCCUUUGUUUUCUCCCAGGCUUCACGGUAAAGCAGAAGAUUCAUGCUACGGCGUCUGCAGGCUGGUCCUAAAGUGCUUUUCUCCACAGGAAUGUCACCUGGCCACUGCAGCCAGGGGUCCCAGGUGCCACUGAGGAGGGCUGCAUUCCCAUCUUCAGUGACGGAGAGCUGAGAGAAGACAGGCAGGGUUCACAGUUCCCUCACACACUUGCUUAAGCAAUACAUUAAAGGUUCAAACUGAAAUAAAUCUGAGAUCUUACAGAAGCAUUUAGAACAGCGUAUAAAGCAUGGAUCACUUUUAAAUAUUUAAGACUGCACACAAACCACAUGAAGCUACCUUUGUUAAAAGUAUAUGUUCUUUGCAGUAGUAGUUAGUAGUAUUCUUUUGUGAGAUGGCUUUUUUUUUUUUUUUUUUUUUUGAGACAGGGUCUUACUGUGUUACCCAGGCUGAAGUGCAGUGGUACAAUCACAGCUCAUUGCAGCCUCGAACUCCUGGGCUCAAGCAAUCCUCCCAAGUAGCUGAGACUACAAGGACACACCACCCUAUCUGGCUAUUUAUUCAUUUUUUGUAGAGACAUGGUCUUACCUGUUGCCCAGGCUGGUCUGGAACUCCUAGCCUAAAACAACCCUCCUGCCUCGGGUUCCGAAAGUGCUGGGAUUACAAGACUGAGCCAUGGUGUCCUGCUAACAUUUUUUUUUUUUUUCAAGCAAUCUCCAUUUGGAUUCUUAGUUCUCUUAACUUUCAAGUUUUUAACAGUUCAAUGCACCUUCCAAGUGUUCCUUGGAAUAUUUUUUCUGGUUUAACUAUUGGUUUAGGUGAUGUCUAUGGCCUGUUUUAACGCUAAGACUCUCUGAUCUGUAUCCAUUUGGUUAGAGCACGUAUGAGUAAAUCCAAGGUUAUUCAAUGACUUCACUCCAACACACAAAAUAUAAAAAGUAAUUACAAUUACUCUUCAAUAAAUCUGAGUUUCAUCGCCAUCACUUGCUCAAUUGAUCCUCUCAGUCAACUUUUGUCUCUUCCUUACC